rnacentral:rRNA from 1 species
GUAGUCUCGCACAGAUGCAUAUCAAUAAGCGGAGGAAAAGAAACUAACAAGGAUUCCCUCAGUAACGGCGAGUGAAGCGGGAAGAGCUCAAAAUUGAAAUCUUGAAAGGUCACCUUUCACGAAUUGUAGUUUAAAGAAGUGUUUUCUGUUACGAUCGUAAUAUAAGUUCUUUGGAAUAGGACAUCACAGAGGGUGAGAAUCCCGUCUAUGAUUGCGAUUUGUAGCUUUGUGAUACACUUUCAAAGAGUCGGGUUGUUUGGGAAUGCAGCCCAAAACGGGAGGUAAAUUUCUUCUAAGGCUAAAUAUUGGCGAGAGACCGAUAGCGAACAAGUACCGUGAGGGAAAGAUGAAAAGAACUUUGAAAAGAGAGUUAAAUAGUACGUGAAAUUGUCAAAAGGGAAGCGUUUAACACCAGUGUUGUUUUCUGAAAAUCAACCUCUGUUAGCUUUAUGCAUGUUUGUUUAGACCUAAUCAGCUAUCUUGCAUGUUCUAUUGUUUGCAGUGGUGCACUUUUCAGUUUACAGGUCAACAUCAGUUUUUUUUACCGUAAAAAAGUUAAAGAAAGGUAGCUCAUGGCUCCGGUCGUGAGUGUUAUAGUCUUUUUCCUAUGCGGUAGGAGAGACUGAGGUCUGCAGUGUAGGCUAUUUGGCUAGAUACUCAGGUGCUAUGUGAUACCAUUUCAUAAACAACUUGUUGAUUAUGUUUUGUCUAUUGCAUACUCGCUUGUACUAUCAUACCUACGCUUAGGAUGUUGAGUCGUAGAGCACGCAG